CCGGCACGGGUGAGUAACACGUAUCCAACCUGCCGUCUACUCUUGGACAGCCCUCUGAAAGGAAGAUUAAUACAAGAUGGCAUCAUGAGUUCACAUGUUCACAUGAUUAAAGGUAUUCCGGUAGACGAUGGGGAUGCGUUCCAUUAGAUAGUAGGCGGGGUAACGGCCCACCUAGUCUUCGAUGGAUAGGGGUUCUGAGAGGAAGGUCCCCCACAUUGGAACUGAGACACGGUCCAA
rnacentral:rRNA from 1 species